AAGGAAUACCUGAUUAUUCCGUUUUCUAUAAAACGAACCAAAUUUCAAACAUUCAAAUCACGACCGCUUUUACGAACUCCUCAAUCAUAACAUAUGAAACGUUAUUUCUUGGAACAAGCAAAAUUGGCGGCUGUUUCAAGUUCUUGUCGGUUGCGAAAACAAAUCAAAAAUUCUUAAUACUAUAAAAUAUUUUUAACAAGUUCCAGAAUUAAUUGAAAAAAGUUGAACAUAUAUUCGAACUGAAGUCAUGAAACACGUAUCAAGUAUCACGAAUCACGAAUCAUGAAUCACGAAACACGAAUUUUUUGGAGGAAGAUACAUACCAGCCUUAAAACCAAAUCCAA